AUUGAACGCUGGCGGCAUGCCUUACACAUGCAAGUCGAACGGCAGCACGGGAGCUUGCUCCUGGUGGCGAGUGGCGCACGGGUGAGUAAUACAUCGGAACGUACCCAGUAGUGGGGGAUAACGCACCGAAAGGCGCGCUAAUACCGCAUACGACCUAAGCGUGAAAGCGUGGGACCGCAAGGCCUCGCGCCAGUGGACCGGCCGAUGUCAGAUUAGCUAGUUAGCUGGGGAAAGGCCCACCAAGGCGACGAUCAGUAGCUGGUCUGGGAGGACGAUCAGCCACACUGGGACUGAGACACAGCCCAGACUCCUACGGGAGGCAGCAGUGGGGAAUUUUGGACAAUGGGGGCAACCCUGAUCCAGCAAUGCCGCGUGUGCGAAGAAGGCCUUCGGGUUGUAAAGCACUUUUGUCAGGGAAGAAAUCUUUCAGGCUAAUACCCUUGGAAGGAUGACGGUACCUAAAGAAUAAGCACCGGCUAACUACGUGCCAGCCGCCGCCGUAA
rnacentral:rRNA from 1 species